GGUUAAGCGACUAAGCGUACACGGUGGAUGCCCUGGCAGUCAGAGGCGAUGAAGGACGUGCUAAUCUGCGAUAAGCGUCGGUGAGGUGAUAUGAACCGUUAUAACCGGCGAUUUCCGAAUGGGGAAACCCAGUGUGUUUCGACACACUAUCAUUAACUGAAUCCAUAGGUUAAUGAGGCGAACCGGGGGAACUGAAACAUCUAAGUACCCCGAGGAAAAGAAAUCAACCGAGAUUCCCCCAGUAGCGGCGAGCGAACGGGGAGGAGCCCAGAGCCUGAAUCAGUGUGUGUGUUAGUGGAAGCGUCUGGAAAGGCGUGCGAUACAGGGUGACAGCCCCGUACACAAAAAUGCACAUAUUGUGAGCUCGAUGAGUAGGGCGGGACACGUGGUAUCCUGUCUGAAUAUGGGGGGACCAUCCUCCAAGGCUAAAUACUCCUGACUGACCGAUAGUGAACCAGUACCGUGAGGGAAAGGCGAAAAGAACCCCGGCGAGGGGAGUGAAAAAGAACCUGAAACCGUGUACGUACAAGCAGUGGGAGCCUCUUAAUGGGGUGACUGCGUACCUUUUGUAUAAUGGGUCAGCGACUUAUAUUCUGUAGCAAGGUUAACCGAAUAGGGGAGCCGAAGGGAAACCGAGUCUUAACUGGGCGUUAAGUUGCAGGGUAUAGACCCGAAACCCGGUGAUCUAGCCAUGGGCAGGUUGAAGGUUGGGUAACACUAACUGGAGGACCGAACCGACUAAUGUUGAAAAAUUAGCGGAUGACUUGUGGCUGGGGGUGAAAGGCCAAUCAAACCGGGAGAUAGCUGGUUCUCCCCGAAAGCUAUUUAGGUAGCGCCUCGUGAAUUCAUCUCCGGGGGUAGAGCACUGUUUCGGCAAGGGGGUCAUCCCGACUUACCAACCCGAUGCAAACUGCGAAUACCGGAGAAUGUUAUCACGGGAGACACACGGCGGGUGCUAACGUCCGUCGUGAAGAGGGAAACAACCCAGACCGCCAGCUAAGGUCCCAAAGUCAUGGUUAAGUGGGAAACGAUGUGGGAAGGCCCAGACAGCCAGGAUGUUGGCUUAGAAGCAGCCAUCAUUUAAAGAAAGCGUAAUAGCUCACUGGUCGAGUCGGCCUGCGCGGAAGAUGUAACGGGGCUAAACCAUGCACCGAAGCUGCGGCAGCGACGCUUAUGCGUUGUUGGGUAGGGGAGCGUUCUGUAAGCCUGUGAAGGUGGCCUGUGAGGGUUGCUGGAGGUAUCAGAAGUGCGAAUGCUGACAUAAGUAACGAUAAAGCGGGUGAAAAGCCCGCUCGCCGGAAGACCAAGGGUUCCUGUCCAACGUUAAUCGGGGCAGGGUGAGUCGACCCCUAAGGCGAGGCCGAAAGGCGUAGUCGAUGGGAAACAGGUUAAUAUUCCUGUACUUGGUGUUACUGCGAAGGGGGGACGGAGAAGGCUAUGUUGGCCGGGCGACGGUUGUCCCGGUUUAAGCGUGUAGGCUGGUUUUCCAGGCAAAUCCGGAAAAUCAAGGCUGAGGCGUGAUGACGAGGCACUACGGUGCUGAAGCGACAAAUGCCCUGCUUCCAGGAAAAGCCUCUAAGCAUCAGGUAACAUCAAAUCGUACCCCAAACCGACACAGGUGGUCAGGUAGAGAAUACCAAGGCGCUUGAGAGAACUCGGGUGAAGGAACUAGGCAAAAUGGUGCCGUAACUUCGGGAGAAGGCACGCUGAUAUGUAGGUGAAGCGACUU
rnacentral:rRNA from 1 species